GACCUAACCCUUGGGUAAUUUAUCUAAGGCAUGGUCGAAAAACUCAUCCUACAUAAAGACGGUCUUCCGUCCAGUACUUGUAGGAUGAGUCUAUGCCCAAAAGGGUAUAGUUGGUAUAUCUAA
rnacentral:sRNA from 1 species